UGCAGUCGACGAGAAAGUUUCCUUCGGGAAACGAGUAGAGUGGCGCACGGGUGAGUAACGCGUAGGUAAUCUAUCCUUAUAUUUGGGAUAACAUUGGGAAACUGGUGCUAAUACCGAAUAGUCUUCUUUGCUGCUGGGCGAAGAAGUAAAGGUGGCCUCUUCAUGAAAGCUACCGUGUAGGGAUGAGCCUGCGUACCAUUAGCUAGUAGGUGAGGUAACGGCUCACCUAGGCUACGAUGGUUAGCGGGUCUGAGAGGAUGAUCCGCCACACUGGAACUGGAACACGGACCAGACUCCUACGGGAGGCAGCAGUGAGGAAUAUUGCGCAAUGGGGGAAACCCUGACGCAGCGACGCCGCGUGAGUGAGGAAGGUCUUCGGAUCGUAAAGCUCUGUCAGAAGGGAAGAAGUGUUAUAUGGUUAACACCCAUAUAAUUUGACGGUACCUUCAGAGGAAGCACCGGCUAACUCCGUGCCAGCAGCCGCGGUAAUACGGAGGGUGCGAGCGUUGUUCGGAAUUACUGGGCGUAAAGGGCGCGUAGGCGGCCGGAUUAGUCAGAUGUGAAAGUCCACGGCUCAACCGUGGAAGUGCAUUUGAAACUGUCCGGCUUGAGUAUCGGAGGGGAAAGUGGAAUUCCCGGUGUAGAGGUGAAAUUCGUAGAGAUCGGGAGGAACACCGGUGGCGAAAGCGACUUUCUGGACGAAUACUG
rnacentral:rRNA from 1 species